rnacentral:rRNA from 1 species
UACAGAGGGUGCGAGCGUUGUUCGGAUUCAUUGGGCGUAAAGGGUGCGUAGGCGGCGCGGUAAGUCGGGUGUGAAAUCUCGGAGCUUAACUCCGAAACUGCAUUCGAUACUGCCGUGCUUGAGGACUGGAGAGGAGACUGGAAUUUACGGUGUAGCGGUGAAAUGCGUAGAUAUCGUAAGGAAGACCAGUGGCGAAGGCGGGUCUCGUGGACAGUUCCUGACGCUGAGGCACGAAGGUCAGGGGAGCAAACGGG